rnacentral:rRNA from 1 species
GAGAGAUUUUAUUCUCGUUUAUUAUAUUUGUUGUAGUAUUAAUUUAUAUGUGAAUUUUUGUGUUGAUUAAUUUCUUAAUGGGUUUGAAAGAUAAUAUGCAGUAUAUAAUAUUAUAUGUGGAGGUAACUUUGAUUUGGUCAUUACUAUUUAAUAUUGACUAAAAAUGUGCCAGUAGUCGCGGUUAUACAUUGAAUAUAAGUGAAUAUUUUUAGUUAAAAUGAUUAUUUUGUUUUUAAUAUUUUGUUUUAUUUUGAUUAUUUUUAGGUGAAAUUUUUAUUAUUUUGUUUUUAUUAUAUAUUUUUUAAAGAGAGGAAGUCAUGUGGUCUAUGAAUAUAUAAACUAGGAUUAGAUACCCUAUUAUACUUGAUGUAAAUUAAUUUAUUUAACUGGAGUAGUAGUAUAUUUUUGAAACUUAGAGAAUUUGGCGGUAUUUUAUUCUUUUUAGAGGAAUCUGUUUCGUAAUUGAUAGUACGCGAUGAACCUUACUUAUAUUUAUUUAAUUUGUAUAUCGUUGUUUAUUGAAAAUUUUUUGAGAAGGGUUUAAUUUUCAUUAUAUUUAUAUAAGGAAAAUAUUUCAGGUCAAGGUGCAGUUUAUAUAUAAGUGAUAAUGGAUUACAAUAUUAUUUUAAUAUUAAUGGAUUAUAUAUUGAUAUUUGUUUAUGAAGGUGAAUUUAAAAGUAAUUUUAUUGUAGAUUGUUUAGAUGAAAUUAGAUCUAGAAUGUGUACAUAUUGCCCGUCACUCUCGUUAAUAUUUUAAAUGAGAUAAGUCGUAACAUAGUAGAUGUAUUGGAAGGUGUAUCUAGAAUUGAUA